AAUCAAGCGCGAAAAGGGCGUUUGGUGGAUGCCUUGGCAGUAAGAGGCGAUGAAGGACGUGAUACUCUGCGAUAAGCCGGGGGAAGCCGAGAAUAGGCUUUGAUCCCCGGAUCUCCGAAUGGGGCAACCCACCUGAAUGUGCGUUAUUAUCUGCAUUCGCAGUUAAUAACGUGCAUAAACAGGUACUUAGAGACUGAAUACAUAGGUCUUUAAGAGCGAACCCGGGGAACUGAAACAUCUAAGUACCCGGAGGAAAGGAAAUCAAUUGAUACUCCCCUAGUAGCGGCGAGCGAACGGGGACCAGCCGAGCCCUGAGAGUGACCAGAACAUGCUGGGAAGCAUGGCCAUAGUGGGUGACAGCCCCGUAUGGGAAGCUCAAAGGGACGUAUUAAGUAGGGCGGGACACGUGAAAUCCUGUCUGAAGAUCGGAGGACCACCUUCGAAGGCUAAGUACUCCUUACUGACCGAUAGCGAACCAGUACCGUGAGGGAAAGGUGAAAAGCACCCCGACGAGGGGAGUGAAACAGUACCUGAAACCGGACGCCUACAAGCAGUCGGAGCUUGACUGGACUCUAAUGACAAUCUGCUGCAUCAACGUGAAAACGAGUCACGUGGGAGGGUGCAGUGUCGGACAUAGCUUUUUGUGACGGAUGGAACCGUGGCGGUCAUCGGCCUUAUCGCCGGCCUGAUCGACAUGAGUGUGAACCAUUGCCCGAACGAUGGCUGUCUGGCGCGAAACGACGUGGCUGCCUACAACAGCCUCGCCAUCGGCGAAACCUACUUCCAGAAGUCGGCCUCGGGCGAGGAACUCUAUUAUCGCCGCGAUACCGGGCUGGCGUUCGGACCGUUCCAGACCGUCUGGGGCCUCUCGGCCACCACCGACGGGGAAUUCUGGGCCGGUGUGGGUUCCGCGUACACGAUCAACCUCUUCAACGAGCGCACGUUCUUGCAGUUCCACACCAUGGCCGGUCUCUACGAGAGCGGCGGCGGCGUGAACCUGGGCGGCGCGGUGCAGUUCCGAUCCGGGCUCGAACUCGGCUACCAGGCGCCCAGCGGCGUCCGCGUCGGCCUGGGUUUCGAUCACCGCUCGAACGCCGGUAUCGACAGCCCCAACCCGGGCUCGAGACCGUGCACCUGAGGGUUUCGAUCCCGAUCAAAUGACCGGAGAACCGGUUGUCAUUAGUGUCCAGUCUUGUGACGGCGUACCUUUUGUAUAAUGGGUCAUCGACUUGGUCUAUCCAGCAAGCUUAAGCCGAUAGGUGUAGGCGCAGCGAAAGCGAGUCUUAAUAGGGCGUCGAGUUGGAUGGAUCAGACCCGAAACCGAGUGAUCUAGGCAUGGCCAGGCUGAAGGUAAGGUAACACUUACUGGAGGGCCGAACCCACUUCUGUUGAAAAAGAACGGGAUGAGCUGUGCCUAGGGGUGAAAGGCCAAUCAAACUCGGAGAUAGCUGGUUCUCUGCGAAAUCUAUUUAGGUAGAGCGUCAUCCGAAUACCCCCGGGGGUAGAGCACUGGAUGGGUAAUGGGGCCCCACAGGCUUACUGAUCCUAACCAAACUCCGAAUACCGGGGAGUACUAGAUGGCAGACAGACUGCGGAUGCUAACGUCCGUAGUCGAGAGGGAAACAACCCUGACCUCCGGCUAAGGCCCCCAAUUCGUGGCUAAGUGGGAAAGCAGGUGGGACGACCAAAACAACCAGGAGGUUGGCUUAGAAGCAGCCAUCCUUUAAAGAUAGCGUAACAGCUCACUGGUCUAAUCAAGUUGUCCUGCGGCGAAGAUGUAACGGGGCUCAAGCCACGAGCCGAAGCCGAGGAUUCCGGAUCUGAUCCGGAAUGGUAGCAGAGCGUAGUGUGAUACAGUCUCAUUCCUCCUUGGCGGUUUCGACCGCGUUGGAGGAGAGAGGCUUUCGAUGAAGCCGGGGCGUGAGCCAACCGGUGGAGAGAUCACUAGCGAGAAUGAUGACAUGAGUAGCGACAAAGAGUGUGAGAGACACUCUCGCCGAAAGUCCAAGGGUUCCUGCUUAAAGCUAAUCUGAGCAGGGUAAGCCGGCCCCUAAGGUCAGGCCGAAAGGCGUAGCCGAUGGGAACCAGGUUAAUAUUCCUGGGCCGGGAGGUGGUGACGGAUCGUGAAGGUUGUUCGCCCUUAUCGGAUUGGGCGGGCCGCUUAGCGGUUCCUGGAAAUAGCCCCUCCAUCAGACCGUACCCUAAACCGACACAGGUGGACUGGUAGAGCAUACCAAGGCGCUUGAGAGAACGAUGUUGAAGGAACUCGGCAAAUUGCCUCCGUAAGUUCGCGAGAAGGAGGCCCGCUUCGCAGGCAACUGUGGGGCGGGGGCACAAACAAGGGGGUGGCGACUGUUUACUAAAAACACAGGGCUCUGCGAAGUCGCAAGACGACGUAUAGGGUCUGACGCCUGCCCGGUGCCUGAAGGUUAAAAGGAGGGGUGAGAGCUCUGAAUUGAAGCCCCGGUAAACGGCGGCCGUAACUAUAACGGUCCUAAGGUAGCGAAAUUCCUUGUCGGGUAAGUUCCGACCUGCACGAAUGGCGUAACGACUUCCCCGCUGUCUCCAACAUCGACUCAGCGAAAUUGAAUUGCCUGUUAAGAUGCAGGCUUCCCGCGGUUAGACGGAAAGACCCCGUGCACCUUUACUACAGCUUCGCACUGGCAUCAGGAUUGGGAUGUGCAGGAUAGUUGGUAGGCUUCGAAGCAGGAACGCCAGUUUCUGUGGAGCCACCCUUGAGAUACCAACCUUCUCACUCUUGAUGUCUAACCGCGGCCCGUUAUCCGGGUCCGGGACCCUGCGUGGUGGGUAGUUUGACUGGGGCGGUCGCCUCCUAAAGAGUAACGGAGGCGCGCGAUGGUUGGCUCAGAGCGGUCGGAAAUCGCUCGUUGAGUGCAAUGGCAUAAGCCAGCCUGACUGCGAGACUGACAAGUCGAGCAGAGUCGAAAGACGGCCAUAGUGAUCCGGUGGUCCCAAGUGGAAGGGCCAUCGCUCAACGGAUAAAAAGGUACGCCGGGGAUAACAGGCUGAUACUGCCCAAGAGUCCAUAUCGACGGCAGUGUUUGGCACCUCGAUGUCGGCUCAUCUCAUCCUGGGGCUGGAGCAGGUCCCAAGGGUACGGCUGUUCGCCGUUUAAAGAGGUACGUGAGCUGGGUUUAGAACGUCGUGAGACAGUUCGGUCCCUAUCUGCCGUGGGUGUAGGAUACUUGAGAGGAGUUGCCCCUAGUACGAGAGGACCGGGGUGAACGAUCCACUGGUGGACCUGUUGUGGCGCCAGCCGCAGUGCAGGGUAGCUAUGAUCGGACAGGAUAACCGCUGAAGGCAUCUAAGCGGGAAGCCCCCCUCAAAACAAGGUAUCCCUGAGGGCCGUGGUAGACCACCACGUCGAUAGGCCGGAGAUGUAAGCGCAGCAAUGCGUUCAGUUGACCGGUACUAAUUGCCCGAUAGGCUUGAUUUG
rnacentral:rRNA from 1 species